UAUCUACGUACAUAAUAUAUAUAUAUAUAUAUAUAUAUAUUUCAAUUUUAUAUAUACCUUCACGUAUCGUAUGUACAUAGAAGAAAUGAGAGUUUAUUAUUAUAUUGAUUAAAUUUAUAAUCAUCUGAGAGAAGAUAUAGAAAUAGGUGAGGGGAGGAAGAGAAGUCUAGAAGUGACGAAUUCGUAAAAGAAUAAAAAUCAAAGAAAAGUAUUCACUAAAAAAAAA